GGGGGACGUUAUCGGAAUAUUGGGCGUAAGAGCUCGUAGGCGGUUUGUCGCGUCUGCUGUGAAAUCCCGAGGCUCAACCUCGGGCCUGCAGUGGGUACGGGCAGACUAGAGUGCGGUAGGGGAGAUUGGAAUUCCUGGUGUAGCGGUGGAAUGCGCAGAUAUCAGGAGGAACACCGAUGGCGAAGGCAGAUCUCUGGGCCGUAACUGACGCUGAGGAGCGAAAGGGUGGGGAGCAAACAGGCUUAGAUACCCUGGUAGUCCACCCCGUAAACGUUGGGAACUAGUUGUGGGGUCCAUUCCACGGAUUCCGUGACGCAGCUAACGCAUUAAGUUCCCCGCCUGGGGAGUACGGCCGCAAGGCUAAAACUCAAAGGAAUUGACGGGGACCCGCACAAGCGGCGGAGCAUGCGGAUUAAUUCGAUGCAACGCGAAGAACCUUACCAAGGCUUGACAUAUACGAGAACGGGCCAGAAAUGGUCAACUCUUUGGACACUCGUAAACAGGUGGUGCAUGGUUGUCGUCAGCUCGUGUCGUGAGAUGUUGGGUUAAGUCCCGCAACGAGCGCAACCCUCGUUCUAUGUUGCCAGCACGUAAUGGUGGGAACUCAUGGGAUACUGCCGGGGUCAACUCGGAGGAAGGUGGGGAUGACGUCAAAUCAUCAUGCCCCUUAUGUCUUGGGCUUCACGCAUGCUACAAUGGCCGGUACAAAGGGCUGCAAUACCGUGAGGUGGAGCGAAUCCCAAAAAGCCGGUCCCAGUUCGGAUUGAGGUCUGCAACUCGACCUCAUGAAGUCGGAGUCGCUAGUAAUCGCAGAUCAGCAACGCUGCGGUGAAUACGUUCCCGGGUCUUGUACACACCGCCCGUCAAGUCAUGAAAGUCGGUAACACCUGAAGCCGGUGGCCUAACCCUUGUGGAGGGAGCCGUCGAAGGUGGGAUCGGUAAUUAGGACUAAUCUA
rnacentral:rRNA from 1 species